UACGUAGGGUGCAAGCGUUAAUCGGAAUUACUGGGCGUAAAGCGUGCGCAGGCGGUGAUGUAAGACAGAUGUGAAAUCCCCGGGCUCAACCUGGGAACUGCAUUUGUGACUGCAUCGCUAGAGUACGGCAGAGGGGGAUGAAAUUCCGCGUGUAGCAGUGAAAUGCGUAGAUAUGCGGAGGAACACCGAUGGCGAAGGCAAUCCCCUGGGCCUGUACUGACGCUCAUGCACGAAAGCGUGGGGAGCAAACAGG
rnacentral:rRNA from 1 species